UCUCAUCAUUGUCAUCAUCCCUGUUGUUCUCCUUCUUGUAACCAUCGUCUGUGCGGCUGGAUUCUGCCUGUAUAAGAAGAGAAAUGCGGUAAACGACCCGGCUGUGCAACAAAUGAUGCUUCCAAAUCAAAAUACCUGAAAGACAAAGAGAGGACCCUGAACCCAGUUUACGGGUACGUUCUGCACUGAAACAAGGAGCAGACCGACACGCUCUCCUCAGAAUUCAUUGGCUCUCAUCGUAUCAGACAUGAAGUGAUCAGAGUUGGGAAUUUAAAUUUAAAUCUUUGAAAUACAAAGAAAACGAGUUUGAAAAAGAGUUGACAAAUACUUUACAAAUCUUCUUUAGGGUUGUUUGGUGACGUUAGUUUAAAUAUAAAAAGCUUUUCCGCUGAUAAAAGACGCUUAAAUACAUUUAAAUGAAAACUUGAUGAUUUAUUUUUCGUCACCUGGAGAGAAGAGAAUCAGAAGAUGAAUCUAUGACGGCAUCACGCCGCUCUUCAUGUGUUGAAGAAAGAUUUGUGUGUUGAUCUAAAAUCCAUCAUAGUUGGAUUUUUAUACUUCUGGUGUUCAGAGCUUUGUGCUAAAACAAAUGUUGGUGAUAAAUACGUUAAUAAAGACACACACACACACACACACACACACACACACACACACACA